rnacentral:rRNA from 1 species
CCUACGGGAGGCAGCAGUGGGGAAUAUUGCACAAUGGGGGAAACCCUGAUGCAGCGACGCCGCGUGAGUGAAGAAGUAAUUCGUUAUGUAAAGCUCUAUCAGCAGGGAAGAAAAUGACGGUACCUGAGUAAGAAGCCCCGGCUAACUACGUGCCAGCAGCCGCGGUAAGACGUAGGGGGCAAGCGUUAUCCGGAUUUACUGGGUGUAAAGGGAGCGUAUACGGCAGUGCAAGUCUGGAGUGAAAGGCGGGGGCUCAACCCCCGGACUGCUCUGGAAACUGGACGGCUGGAGUGCAGGAGAGGUAAGUGGAAUUCCUAGUGUAGCGGUGAAAUGCGUAGAUAUUAGGAGGAACACCAGUGGCGAAGGCGGCUUACUGGACUGUAACUGACGUUGAGGCUCGAAAGCGUGGGGAGCAAACAGGAUUAGAUACCCCUGUAGUC